rnacentral:rRNA from 1 species
AGUGAACGCUGGCGGUAGGCCUAACACAUGCAAGUCGAACGGCAGCACAGUAAGAGCUUGCUCUUACGGGUGGCGAGUGGCGGACGGGUGAGGAAUACAUCGGAAUCUACUUUUUCGUGGGGGAUAACGUAGGGAAACUUACGCUAAUACCGCAUACUACCUACGGGUGAAAGCAGGGGAUCUUCGGACCUUGCGCGCUUGUAUGAGCCGAUGUCGGAUUAGCUAGUUGGCGGGGUAAAGGCCCACCAAGGCGACGAUCCGUAGCUGGUCUGAGAGGAUGAGCAGCCACACUGGAACUGAGACACGGUCCAGACUCCUACGGGAGGCAGCAGUGGGGAAUAUUGGACAAUGGGCGCAAGCCUGAUCCAGCAAUACCGCGUGGGUGAAGAAGGCCUUCGGGUUGUAAAGCCCUUUUGUUGGGAAAGAAAAGCAGCAGGUUAAUACCCCGCUGUUCUGACGGUACCCAAAGAAUAAGCACCGGCUAACUACGUG